rnacentral:rRNA from 1 species
ACAGUGGACGCGAGCAUCUGUGGCCAAGUUUUUAAGGGCGCACGGUGGAUGCCUUGGCACCAGGAACCGAUGAAGGACGUGGGAGGCCACGAUAGGCCCCGGGGAGUCGUCAACCAGGCUUUGAUCCGGGGGUGUCCGAAUGGGGAAACCCGGCAGUCGUCAUGGGCUGUCACCCUUGCCUGAACACAUAGGGCAAGUGGAGGGAACGCGGGGAAGUGAAACAUCUCAGUACCCGCAGGAAGAGAAAACAACCGUGAUUCCGGGAGUAGUGGCGAGCGAAACCGGAUGAGGCCAAACCGUAUGCGUGUGAGACCCGGCAGGGGUUGCGCAUUCGGGGUUGUGGGAUCUCUCUUUCAUGGUCUGCCGGCCAUGAGACGAGUCAGAAACCGUUGAUGUAGGCGAAGGACAUGCGAAAGGUCCGGCGUAGAGGGUAAGACCCCCGUAGUCGAAACGUCAGCGGCUCGUUUGAGAGACACCCAAGUAGCACGGGGCCCGAGAAAUCCCGUGUGAAUCUGGCGGGACCACCCGCUAAGCCUAAAUAUUCCCUGGUGACCGAUAGCGGAUAGUACCGUGAGGGAAUGGUGAAAAGUACCGCGGGAGCGGAGUGAAAUAGUACCUGAAACCGUGUGCCUACAAGCCGUGGGAGCGUCGCGCAAGGACUUGUCCUUGCGUCGUGACUGCGUGCCUUUUGAAGAAUGAGCCUGCGAGUUUGCGGUGUGUUGCGAGGUUAACCCGGGUGGGGAAGCCGUAGCGAAAGCGAGUCCGAACAGGGCGUUUCAGUAGCACGCUCAAGACCCGAAGCGGAGUGAUCUAGCCAUGGGCAGGUUGAAGCGGAGGUAAGACUUCGUGGAGGACCGAACCCACCAGGGUUGAAAACCUGGGGGAUGACCUGUGGUUAGGGGUGAAAGGCCAAUCAAACUCCGUGAUAGCUGGUUCUCCCCGAAAUGCAUUUAGGUGCAGCGUCGUGUGUUUCUUGCCGGAGGUAGAGCACUGGAUAGGCGAUGGGCCCUACCGGGUUACUGACCUUAGCCAAACUCCGAAUGCCGGUAAGUGAGAGCGCGGCAGUGAGACUGUGGGGGAUAAGCUCCAUGGUCGAGAGGGAAACAGCCCAGAGCAUCGACUAAGGCCCCUAAGCGUACGCUAAGUGGGAAAGGAUGUGGAGUCGCACAGACAACCAGGAGGUUGGCUUAGAAGCAGCCACCCUUGAAAGAGUGCGUAAUAGCUCACUGGUCUAGUGAUUCCGCGCCGACAAUGUAGCGGGGCUCAAGCGUACCGCCGAAGUCGUGUCAUUGCAGCAGAUAGCCCCAACGGGUGCUGUGAUGGGUAGGGGAGCGUCGUCUGCCGGGUGAAGCAGCCGCGGAAGCGAGUUGUGGACGGUUGACGAGUGAGAAUGCAGGCAUGAGUAGCGAUUCACACGUGAGAAACGUGUGCGCCGAUUGACUAAGGGUUCCUGGGUCAAGCUGAUCUGCCCAGGGUAAGUCGGGACCUAAGGCGAGGCCGACAGGCGUAGUCGAUGGAUAACCGGUUGAUAUUCCGGUACCCGCUGUGAAGCGUCAAACAUCGAAUCCAGUGAUGCUAAGCCCGUGAAGCCGCCGGCUGAGUCUUCGGACGAGGUCGGAGUGGUGGAGCCGGUGACCCGAGCUGGUAGUAGGUGAGUGAUGGGGUGACGCAGGAAGGUAGUCCAUCCCGGGCGGUGGUUGUCCCGGGGUAAGGGUGUAGGACGUCAGGUAGGCAAAUCCGCCUGGCAUGUGUCUGAGACCUGAUGCCGAGCCGAUUGUGGUGAAGUGGAUGAUCCUAUGCUGUCGAGAAAAGCCUCUAGCGAGUUUCAUGGCGGCCCGUACCCUAAACCGACUCAGGUGGUCAGGUAGAGAAUACCGAGGCGUUCGGGUGAACUAUGGUUAAGGAACUCGGCAAAAUGCCCCCGUAACUUCGGGAGAAGGGGGGCCACAUCCGGUGAUGAGCUUCGCGCUCUGAGCUGGGGGUGGCCGCAGAGACCAGCGAGAAGCGACUGUUUACUAAAAACACAGGUCCGUGCGAAGCCGUAAGGCGAUGUAUACGGACUGACGCCUGCCCGGUGCUGGAACGUUAAGGGGACCGGUUAGCUUGGAUUCGUCCAGGCGAAGCUGAGAACUUAAGCGCCAGUAAACGGCGGUGGUAACUAUAACCAUCCUAAGGUAGCGAAAUUCCUUGUCGGGUAAGUUCCGACCUGCACGAAUGGCGUAACGACUUCUCGACUGUCUCAACCAUAGGCCCGGUGAAAUUGCACUACGAGUAAAGAUGCUCGUUUCGCGCAGCAGGACGGAAAGACCCCGGGACCUUUACUACAGUUUGAUAUUGGUGUUCGGUUCGGCUUGUGUAGGAUAGCUGGGAGACUGUGAACAUCGGACGCCAGUUCGGUGGGAGUCGUCGUUGAAAUACCAGUCUGGUCGUGCUGGAUGUCUAACCUGGGUCCGUGAUCCGGAUCAGGGACAGUGUCUGAUGGGUAGUUUAACUGGGGCGGUUGCCUCCUAAAGGGUAACGGAGGCGCCCAAAGGUUCCCUCAGCCUGGUUGGCAAUCAGGUGUUGAGUGUAAGUGCACAAGGGAGCUUGACUGUGAGACCGACGGGUCGAGCAGGGACGAAAGUCGGGACUAGUGAUCCGGCGGUGGCUUGUGGAAGCGCCGUCGCUCAACGGAUAAAAGGUACCCCGGGGAUAACAGGCUGAUCUUCCCCAAGAGUCCAUAUCGACGGGAUGGUUUGGCACCUCGAUGUCGGCUCGUCGCAUCCUGGGGCUGGAGUCGGUCCCAAGGGUUGGGCUGUUCGCCCAUUAAAGCGGUACGCGAGCUGGGUUUAGAACGUCGUGAGACAGUUCGGUCCCUAUCCGCUGUGCGCGUAGGAGUCUUGAGAAGGGCUGUCCCUAGUACGAGAGGACCGGGACGGACGAACCUCUGGUGUGCCAGUUGUUCUGCCAAGGGCAUGGCUGGUUGGCUACGUUCGGGAGGGAUAACCGCUGAAAGCAUCUAAGCGGGAAGCCUGCUUCGAGAUGAGGACUCCCACCUCCUAGAGAGGGUAAGGCUCCCAGUAGACGACUGGGUUGAUAGGCCGGAUAUGGAAGCACGGUAACGUGUGGAGUUGACCGGUACUAAUAGGCCGAGGGCUUGUCCUCAGUUG